GACGAACGCUGGCGGCGUGCUUAACACAUGCAAGUCGAACGGAAAGGCCCUGCUUUUGUGGGGUGCUCGAGUGGCGAACGGGUGAGUAACACGUGAGUAACCUGCCCUUGACUUUGGGAUAACUUCAGGAGACUGGGGCUAAUACCGGAUAGGAGCUCCUGCUGCAUGGUGGGGGUUGGAAAGUUUCGGCGGUUGGGGAUGGACUCGCGGCUUAUCAGCUUGUUGGUGGGGUAGUGGCUUACCAAGGCUUUGACGGGUAGCCGGCCUGAGAGGGUGACCGGCCACAUUGGGACUGAGAUACGGCCCAGACUCCUACGGGAGGCAGCAGUGGGGAAUAUUGCACAACGGGCGGAAGCCUGAUGCAGCAACGCCGCGUGCGGGAUGACGGCCUUCGGGUUGUAAACCGCUUUCGCCUGUGACGAAGCGUGAGUGACGGUAAUGGGUAAAGAAGCACCGGCUAACUACGUG
rnacentral:rRNA from 1 species